UCUUUGCGCAUUCUGUCCAUGCCUAAAGGAUGAGUGUAACCACAUAAGCAACAAAUAUACAGCAAGAUAACUACUGCAACAAUAAAAUUCCAAGUUGCACACUUUGGCAAAAAGACUUUUGGCCAAAAGGAAUUUUACUAUAAAAGCACUCUAAUUGCAGAUAAUUAAGGAACAAUGAAAGCAAGGAAUUUAAGAAAUGUAAAGGAGACAAUGUCAUAUACCAUAACACUAUAGAAAAGCAAAGAACACGAGAAUAGUAAAGAAGACAUCAUAUACCAUAACACUAUAGAAAAGCAAAGAACACGAGAAUAGUAAAGAAGACA
rnacentral:misc_RNA from 1 species